AUAAAGACGAACUUUUUCGGUGUC
rnacentral:siRNA from 1 species